rnacentral:rRNA from 1 species
UCCUACGGGAGGCAGCAGUGAGGAAUAUGGGGCAAUGGAGGGAACUCUGACCCAGCCAUGCCAGCGUGCAGGAAGACGGCCCUAUGGGUGGUAAACGCUUUUAUACAGGAAGAAACUUUUUCACGGAAGAAAUGACGGUAC